rnacentral:lncRNA from 10 species
ACGCUCGCCCUGGGAACGCCAGCGGAGCCGGCGGCGGCGAGUAGGGGGCAAUUCGAAGGAGACGCGCAGCUUACACCCGCGGCGGGUGGAGGGAGCAAUGUGACGAAACCAUUGAGCUUGACCGACCUUCCCUCAUGGAGUUGGCUUUUAGCCUCACGGCCGGUUUCUGUUGGGUGAAAGCCGCACCUUCUCCUCGAACCAGGGCCCGACAUUGGAGCCCUCUCCCUCGCAUCCACUGCCCUAGUCCAGCGUCAAGAUCACGGAAUUCCAGGCUGGGCGCAGUGGCUCACGCCUGUAAUCCCAGCACUUUGGGAGGCUGAGGUGGGUGGAUCACUUGAGGUCAGGAGUUCGAGACCAGCCUGGCCAAUAUGGUGAAACCCUGCUUCUACUAAAAAUACAAAAUUAGCCGGGCGUGGUGGCGGGCGCCUAUAAUCCCAGCUACUCGAGAGGCUGAGGCAGAAUUGCUUGAGCCCGGGAGGCGGAGGUUGCAGUAAGCCGAGAUCGUGCCACUUAAGCCUCACCAAGAGCGAAACUCCACCUCAAAAAAAAAAAACAAAAAAACCAGCCGGGCUCGGUGGCUCACGCCUGUAAUCCCAGCACUUUGGGAGGUCGAGGCGGGCGGAUCACGAGGUCAAGAAAUCCGAGACCAUCUUGGCCAACCUUGUCUCUAUUAAAAAUACAAAAAUUAGUUGGGCAUGGUGGCUGGCGCACGCGUGUAGUCCCAGCUACUCGGGAGGCUGAGGCAGGAGAAUCGCUUGAACCCGGGAGGGGGAGGUUGCAGUGAGCUGAGAUCGCGCCACUGUACUCCAGCCUGGCAACAAAGCGAGACUCCAUCUCAAAACAAACAAACAAAAAAAACCGUGGAAUUCCAUGCCACUUACCUCCUCCUCUUUGCCCCUUUUUUAAAAAUCUUUUUAUAGAGACGGGUUGUAGGGGGUGGCGUCUCACUAUAUUGCCAGGGCUGGUCUAGAACUCCUGGGCUUAAGCGAUCCUCCUGCCCCCACCUUUGUGCUGAGAUUACAGGCUGUGAGCCACCGUGCCCCGCCCUCCCAGCACCUUCCUUGAUGCUGACCCCUGCUCAGCCCCUCAAUUAAGGUGCUGCACUGCACCUCAUUCGCAGGGGGCCUCUUCGCCGGAACUCGCUUUCAGGUGGGUCUACAAUUAGUUGGGAAACAACGGGUUGCAAGGCUGACCUGGUCUGGGACAUGAGAAGGGGUGAACUACAAGGGUUUCAAGGUUGGAGGACGUUAGGUCGGGCCUCCGGGGGUGUGGGAUUGAGGCUGUGUUCUU